UAGAGUUUGAUCAUGGCUCAGAUUGAACGCUGGCGGCAGGCCUAACACAUGCAAGUCGAGCGGUAGAGAGAAGCUUGCUUCUCUUGAGAGCGGCGGACGGGUGAGUAAUGCCUAGGAAUCUGCCUGGUAGUGGGGGAUAACGUUCGGAAACGGACGCUAAUACCGCAUACGUCCUACGGGAGAAAGCAGGGGACCUUCGGGCCUUGCGCUAUCAGAUGAGCCUAGGUCGGAUUAGCUAGUUGGUGGGGUAAUGGCUCACCAAGGCGACGAUCCGUAACUGGUCUGAGAGGAUGAUCAGUCACACUGGAACUGAGACAUGGUCCAGACUCCUACGGGAGGCAGCAGUGGGGAAUAUUGGACAAUGGGCGAAAGCCUGAUCCAGCCAUGCCGCGUGUGUGAAGAAGGUCUUCGGAUUGUAAAGCACUUUAAGUUGGGAGGAAGGGUUGUAGAUUAAUACUCUGCAAUUUUGACGUUACCGACAGAAUAAGCACCGGCUAACUCUGUGCCAGCAGCCGCGGUAAUACAGAGGGUGCAAGCGUUAAUCGGAAUUACUGGGCGUAAAGCGCGCGUAGGUGGUUUGUUAAGUUGGAUGUGAAAUCCCCGGGCUCAACCUGGGAACUGCAUUCAAAACUGACUGACUAGAGUAUGGUAGAGGGUGGUGGAAUUUCCUGUGUAGCGGUGAAAUGCGUAGAUAUAGGAAGGAACACCAGUGGCGAAGGCGACCACCUGGACUAA
rnacentral:rRNA from 1 species